GAAACACCGAGAGACGAUUGAGAGAUUCUUAGAAAAAACUAGGUGAUCUUCUUUAUCCAUCUGUUCAUGUGUAAUGUUUAUGAAGUUUUAAUGAAAGAAGAAAGAGGCGAGUUUGCUGGUGAUUUAAAUAAGAAGACAGGAGCAGUUGAAGUUAGAUAAAUGAAUCAGUGCUAUAUACAGUACAGAAAAGUUUAUCCUCACAGGGAAGGAUACUAGCCGUAGAUGUAAUAAAAAUGCAGGGAAAGGGCAAGAAUGCAUUUGGCAGGACAACCAUUAAUAAUUUUGACUCAGGAUAUGUGAUAUGUAAAGGUGCAGGAUGGGUUCUGAUCCGCCACAAUAGCUUAUUCAGAUUGAUGAGGUCUUUAGGAAGAUCUGACGCAGGAAGGUUUUGAUGAGGAAGCAAAAUAGCACUCAAAUGCCUCAUGAUUCACCAUUUACUGUAAAGAGUAUAUGAACAUCUAAUAUUUUGACUUGUUUUUGGGAAUGGGUGGAUCUCUUUUGUAAACUAACUACUUGGUUUUUGAGAAUCUAUAUAAAAUUUU